GAGCGAUAUAGCCAUGAAAACAAUUGCAAGGGUGUUGUAGCUGCAGAUAACAUAGCAGAAUCUUCCAGGGAUGUGGGGGCAGCACCAGAAAGAGAUCAAGCUAGAGAUCGAGGUGCUCGUAGAAGACAGCCACAGGAGUUUUCUACGCGACGUCUUAUAUUCACUAUUGCAAUAACAGGUAUUGCUGUUCUAUUAGGAUCCCUAUUUUUCCAGAGAAAGGCCGAGAGCAACGUCGUACACUGAUUGCGGGUAAGCUUACCACAGAUCCAACAGAGUGG
rnacentral:misc_RNA from 1 species